rnacentral:rRNA from 1 species
CAGCCAUCCUUGAAAGAGUGCGUAAUAGCUCACUGGUCAAGUGAUUCCGCGCCGAUAAUGUAGCGGGGCUUAAGUUAUCCGCCGAAGCUGUGGCAACCUGUGUGGUUGGGUAGGGGAGCGUCGUGUCAGUGGUGAAGCUGCCGGGUGACUGUGUGGUGGAGUUGAUGCGAGUGAGAAUGCAGGCAUGAGUAGCGUGUGACGGGUGGGAAUCCCGUCCGCCGAUUAUCCAAGGGUUCCAGGGUCAAGUUUGUCUGCCCUGGGUGAGUCGGGUCCUAAGGCGAGGCCGACAGGCGUAGUCGAUGGGUAACCAGUUGAUAUUCUGGUACCGGCUUGUCACCGUCCGUGUCGAGGUGUGUGAUGCUAAGCAUGUGAGCUUGUCUUGGGAGUGUUUUUGAUGCUUCUGGGGUGGGUGAGUGUGUGAACCGAUCAUGUAGUAGGCAAGCUGCGGAGGGACGCAGUGAGGUAGCUCAUCCCCGGUGAUGGUUGUCCGGGGCUAAGUGUGUGGACUGUCUGGUAGGUAAAUCCGCUGGGCGUGAAGGUUGAGGCAUGAUGGGGAGCCCAUGGUUGUGGGUGAGUGAGUGAUCCUGUACUGUCGAGAAAAGCUUCGUGAGCGAGGUGGCGGGUCCGCCCGUACCCUAAACCGACACUGGUGGAUAGGUAGAGUAUACCGAGGCGAUCGAGUGAAUCGUGGUGAAGGAACUCGGCAAAAUGCCCCCGUAACUUUGGGAUAAGGGGGACCUGAGCUGUCGUGCACCCGUGCGGUGUGGUGGCGGUGAGGGGCGCAGAGUCCAGGGGGAAACGACUGUUUACCAAAAACACAGGUCCGUGCGAAGUCGUAAGACGAUGUAUACGGACUGACUCCUGCCCGGUGCUGGAAGGUUAAGGGGAACUGUGAGUGUAUGCGUAGCGGUGAACUUAAGCCCCAGUAAACGGCGGUGGUAACUAUAACCAUCCUAAGGUAGCGAAAUUCCUUGUCGGGUAAGUUCCGACCUGCACGAAUGGAGUAACGAUUUCCCUACUGUCUCCACCAUGAACUCGGUGAAAUUGCAUUACGAGUAAAGAUGCUCGUUACGCGCAGCAGGACGGAAAGACCCCGGGACCUUUACUAUAGUUUGGUAUUGGUGAUUGGGACGGUUUGUGUAGGAUAGGUGGGAGACGUUGAUGCGGCCACGCUAGUGGUGGUGGAGUCGUUGGUGAAAUACCACUCUGAUUGUUCUGGUUAUCUCACUGUGGACCGUGAUCCGGUUCAAGGACAGUGCCUGAUGGGUAGUUUGACUGGGGCGGUCGCCUCCUAAAGGGUAACGGAGGCGCCCAAAGGUUCCCUCAGCCUGGUUGGUAAUCAGGUGGUGAGUGUAAGUGCACAAGGGGGCUUGACUGUGAGACUGACAGGUCGAGCAGGGACGAAAGUCGGGACUAGUGAUCUGACGGUGGCUUGUGGAUGCGCCGUCACUCAACGGAUAAAAGGUACCCCGGGGAUAACAGGCUGAUCUUGCCCGA